AGUACCGCGUUUCCUUAGACGGCGGCGCUCCACCCACUCCUCCGCCGUACCACCACUUGGGAAAUAUCUAGCCAGCCUCCCAUCCCCACUCAAUAAUGCUGGUGCUCCUUCCUGGAUCUCACAACAAGCUAGCUCAACGAGUCAACUGCUCCGGCCGGCCGGCGGGCUUCGUGUGUGCGCCUGCAUCAAUCCCCGCCCGGCUACUCUGCUGCCAACGGCACACGUCCGGUUGACAUCUAAACAUGUCCGAUGUCAUGGAUGAAGGUUUAUGGUGCGAGCGGGUGUUUAGAGACCAUCAACUCUCUGUGGUGCGUCUCGAUACCGCUACUGACAAUGUUUUUUAAGGCAAUGGCUUUAUUGUCAGCAACAAUAAAACCAUCUGUGACAUAGUAUCAUGUCAACAUGUCGUCAAGGUGCUUCCCGUGGGUGGAACAAUGGCUGUUUAUUUCUUCAACUCCGACGGAUUGAUCCCACGCCGAUACAAUGCAAGAAUAAUUCGUACUGAUGAGGGUCGGGAUCUUGCUUGGCUGCGGGCUCAAGAUGUCUAUGAACCAGUGACUUGUCUGAGGUUCUUCGACCCACCAUAUGCUUCUGGGUGGAAUGUUGUUGCGCUGGCUUAUACCACAUUGGAUGGUUCUUCUGCUACUAUUCUAGAGCCAGGGACGUAUUCUGGUACAAUAACCAAUGAACCAGAUGAAGUGUCGCUUACCUGCAGUUGUACAUCUAAGCAAGGUGCAUCAGGUUCACCUCUUAUUUUGCCACGGAUAGACAGGGUAGUUGGGGUGCUUGCCGGAGCUUCACAUGCAUCGGUAUACGCUGUUCCUGUCACACAUAUAAGGGAGUUCUUAAUAGAGUGGCUUGGUGGAGACGAAGACCUGAACGAAGUACGAACUGCUGGGUUGGUUAUGCUUGUCGCAAAGGGCCAAUAGUACGAUGAGGACUUGAACACUGGACGGAAACUUGGGGAGGAAGAACCAUGAGAAGUUGUCAGAAUUUAUCCUAAAAAAAGUUGACGUGCGCGUGGCGUAGUUCUAGGUUUCAUAGUUAGUAUGCUGGAAUGUUUUAAUCCUAGACUUUGUAGCUAGCCAUUGGCUGGGCUUUGCUCAUUUUAGAUUGUAUACUGAUCUACUACUUAUUUCUUUCUUAACUUUGCUACCUUAUUGUCUUGCGGUUUGAAUUAUGUCACCGUAUUAAUUUCUCUGUGUGUUAGACAAACAUGAUAUGAUUAAACGUGUGUUAAUUCGUUCCAUUGUU